rfam:Schistosoma mattheei strain Denwood, Zambia genome assembly, scaffold: SMTD_scaffold0007036
CUCCAGUCGACAAGUCCCAAAUAGAACAAAACACGUGUCCUGGAU